AUGAUCAACACACUCACUCUUCUGCUGGUUGCUCUCUCUCUGCCCUGUUGUACAGGUCAGAGCAUGGAGUCCAUUCCUUCCAGUUCAGUGGUGAAAAAGCCCGGGGAGACUCUCAGUCUCUCCUGCAGGGGAUCUGGCUUCACAUUUAGCUGCUGUGUUAUGAGCUGGAUCAGACAACCUGCAGGAAAAGCUCUGGAAUGGAUCGGGUUUGGCAAUUCCGAUGCCAGAAACACUUAUGCCAGCAGUGUGAGAGGCCGUGUAGAAAUCAGUAGAGAUGACAGCAACAGUAUGACGUAUCUGAGACUGUCCAACUUAUAG